rnacentral:tRNA from 1 species
GGUAAAAUGGCCGAGCGUUAGGCGGCGGAUUGUAGCCCCGCGCACGGAGGUCAAAUUCCUCCUUUUACCA